rnacentral:lncRNA from 1 species
AGGUUUCAGUAAACCCCAACAGCAUCACCGUGUGGCUGACUGCAUGUGCCUUUUGCUCUCUCUGCUGACUGUGGUUUUUUUCCAAGGUACAGGCUUCAAUCAGCAGAAGAUGUUCUGGAUCCCGCGUACUGUGGGGCUGAGCUUCCCAGAGACCCCAGCACAGCAGCUAACACUGGAGUAAUUAAACAGAUCAUGGUUUCUUUCCCGUUUGAGUCUGAGUUCUUAUUAUAACUUCCCUUAUCCGUAUUUAUCACCUUGCACAAAACUCAAGUCCAAGUGGAUCAAAAAUCUCAACGUAAAAUCAGACACACUGAAUCUAAUAGAACAGAAAAUAGGGAAUAGCCUUGAAAUCAUUGGCACAGGAGACAAUUUCCUGAACAGAAUGUCAAUGGCUCGGGCACUAAAAGCAACUAUUAGUCAAUGCUGCUCAUGAAACUGAAAAGCUUCUGUAAGUUAAAGGACACCAUCAAUAUGACAAGACAACAGCCUAAAAAUUGGGGAAAAAAACUUUACCAACUGAACAUCAGACAGAGGGCUAAUAUCCAAAAUGUAUAAAGAAUUCAAGAAGU